AUUGAUCCUUGCCUUAGUUACUUUUCUCAUUGCUGAGACAAAAUACCCGACACCCAGAGUUAGAAGGGGAAAGGUUUAUUUGGCUCACGGUUCGUAGAGGUUUCAGUCCUUAAUCAGCUGGCUCCAAGGCAGGGUGGCCUGGCAGAGGGGGAACAGUUCAUGGCCAGCAAAAGACAGCAAAAGCAAACAAGCAAGGGAAGUUUAACAGCGUCUUUCUGCCCCUUUCACCCCACCCAGACUACCGGCACUAGGACAGCGUCCAACCAAUCAGUGCACUGGUUUAGUAAUCACGCGCCCUUAGUCCCAGCAUCACAGGCUCUAGAUUCAGCCACCUCUGAAAAGAACACCCAUGAGCGCAUGAGGCUUUGGAGGACGUCUAGACCCAAACCAUCACAACCGUCUUGCUCCGGGGGCUCAGGAGACUAGCUGUCAAAAAGGAGUCCCUAAGACGCAGAGGUCUAUGAGUUUAUGGAAAAGAAGAGGAAGGCCACACAAACAGAACACAGGCCCACAUGACGCGUGGGGAUGGACACGUGCCCAGUGGCGCCUGGGGAAGCUCUGGCAGGUGACUGGGUUGUCCUCCGUGGGGGUCCUCAAGUGGCGGACGCCCUAACAGCUCAACUGUCUGACCUAUGCCUGCCACAAGUGACUAAGGAUAAGGAAAUGCAAAAGAAAAGACAGAAAAGGAAAUAACAGCUCACCAAAGGAGUCUCAACUCUCGGUUGGGCCCCUAAGACAUUUCCACGGGUUGUGGGUCUGGGCAUGGGUUCCCUGGUCCUUGUGUGGGGUACAAAGAUUUGGAAGUAGCUUGUGACGGUAAGGAAAUGAGGGCAGAGUGCACUGAGGCCGCGGUAGUCAUCGGGUGGACUCAGAGCGGGAGGGCUCGCCCUCAGCCUCACUGCUUCCUGGCUGCCUUGGAUGAGCAGCUCCCCUCCGCCAUGCCAUCUCUGCCUUGGGGCCGGCGACCAUGGGCUGAAACCAUGAGGCAGAAGGAGCCCCUCUUCCUCGAAGCUGCGGGUGCUGGGUAUUUUGUCUCAGCGAUGAGAACGUGACCGAGGCUCACAGUGGUGCUGGGCACGGCGAUGACGGCGUGUGGGCCACAGCGCACAUCCGGCCAUGCUGACCGGCACUGCUGAAGCGGGUUUGGGUGGUGCCAAGUGAUGCGAUGGCCUUCUCCACCAGCUCCUGGCCACGCCAGCCUUCUGGUCUAGGGGUAUUGUCACCUCUGUGUCAUCAAUAGUCACAUCUGAGCUCUAGGAAUGUACUUCUCAAUAGCAGAUGACAGCAAAGCGGAAAGACACGCCUCGCUCACGCCAGCCGACUCCUACCAAGACACAGGCCGAUGACACUCACAAAUGUCACCAGGAAAGGAACGGGGUGAAAGGACAGCUGGAACUCAUGGAUCAAGCCAGAAGUUUCUGGAACUGAGCAGGAGGGACAGCACAUUGCAGCAGCAGGUCACGCAGCAGCAGUCUGGGGACGAAAGCCUCCCCGAGACCCCAACUCACAGGACAACCAGUGGC
rnacentral:lncRNA from 1 species